rnacentral:misc_RNA from 1 species
GAUGAAGAACGCAGCGAAAUGCGAUACUUGGUGUGAAUUGCAGAAUCCCGCGAAUCAUCGAGUUUUUGAACGCAAGUUGCGCCCGAAGCCACUAGGCCGAGGGCACGCCUGCCUGGGCGUCACACGUCGUUGCCCCCCCCCCAUCUACUCCUUCGGGAUUGCGGGGGGCGGAUGAUGGCCUCCCGUGCGCCUAGCCGCGCGGUUGGCAUAAAUACCAAGUCCUCGGCGACGCACGCCACGACAAUCGGUGGUUGCGAAACCUCGGUUGCCCGUCGUGUGCGUUCGUCGCGCAUCGAGGGCUCGAAAAAAUGCUCGGCUCCGGCUCGGCUUUCAACGCGACCCCAGGUCAGGCGGGGUUACCCGCUGAAUUUAAGCAUAUCAAUAAGCGGAGGA